rnacentral:lncRNA from 1 species
UUGUUUUCGUUCGAUUAGCCUAGUUAGGCUUGGAAUUGGGUGAUGUGUUAGUCAUGAAAGUUGUAGAGGAGAUUGAGAGGAAGAUUCUGUUAAAAUUUGGUAGCAUUUGCAGGUUGCCGGAAAACGGCUGCCGGCCGCCGCCGGUUAGGAGAUUUUUAGGGUUUUAAAUGUGGAAUAUUAAGAGGAGUAUAUUGGUGUGAUUUAUGGAAUUUUUGGAUGAGAUUUGGAUAGGUUUGUGAAUUUCCGAAGUUUGGUAUUUUUGGCGGUUAAUUAAUGUAGAAUCCGGCCGUAGGAUUUAAAUCGUAUUUUGGGGAGGUUAUAUUUAUGACUGUGGAGUAUGAUAUUUAAGUUCGGAUCGUUCCGAUGUAAGAAUAUCGAAGUUAGGCAAUAAUGAGCGUAAUUAUGGCUCUCGGGUAAUUUUGCCUAUUUUGAUUAAAUAUUGGAUUAUUGGUUGGGAAAUUAAUAUUUUAUUUGGAACAGGACGUGAGGAGGCUCGAGCAGACGAGACCCUAGAUCGACAUCAGGCUUAGGCCUAAUUUGUGAGUGGACGUUUAUUUUAAAUAAAUGCAUGCUAAAGUUCACGAUUGAAUAAUUAAUGUCGUGGAGUAUUUUGACGUCAUUUUAAUUUUUGACGAUUUUUAUUUCUCUUGGAGAGAUACCGAAAAUGGGAUUUUCGGUGGAUAUAAAUAUGUAUUUAUGAGAGAGUGACGUGUCGCGUAACCGGGGUCAAACAACUUCAAUUUAAUUACCCUGCAAUCGUAGUAAUAUGGACAAGUAGGGAUCGUUCUAGCCGGGGAAACCAAAGGGCGAUCGAAAGAAGAGAAAUCAAACAACUUAUAAACAAGUAUUCACAUAUAUACAUCGAAAUAUUGGGGGGUUUGAGAUUGAUUAAUUCUAACAAAUAAUCUACUGAAAAUUAAACCUAAGAUUAUUAUAUACAAAUGAUCAACAUACUCAUGCAACACAUAACACGAAAAACCAUCAAAAACACAUAACAACUUCAUGCAAG